rnacentral:tRNA from 1 species
GGGCCUGUAGCUCAGCUGGGAGAGCGCUACAUUCGCAUUGUAGAGGUCAGGGGUUCAAAUCCCCUCAGGUCCA